UCAAAGACGUUGUUGACAUCACGAACGUCUUAGAAAGUCAGGCUUCUAAGACAGUGCUGACGUCGACAACGUCUUAGAAAGCCAACCUUCAAAGACAGCCGUGACGUCAACACCGUCUUUGAAGCCUGGUUUUCUAAGACGGUCGUGAUGUCAGCACCGUCUUUGAA
rnacentral:pre_miRNA from 1 species